rfam:Dipodomys ordii contig_38623, whole genome shotgun sequence.
GGGAAUGUAGCUUAGUGGUGGAGUGCUUGCCUAGCAUGUAUGAAGUCCUGGGUUCAAUUCCUCAGUAUACACA